CCCUGUCCAUGGAGAACUUGAGGUGGAAAGCAAUUUGGUUCAAAAUGACCUUUAUUACUUGAAAGGGAAUAUUUCCAGUCGUUGCCACCCUCUUCCCCUUCUAGUAUUGGUAAAUUUGGUGCACCCACUGAGUGGGUGAAGAGUUUUAUGUGUCCUUAAAUGUUUUAGGGAUUUUUUUUAAACAACAACAACAAAAAAAAACCAGGAUUUGGGGGACUUUUGUGUUUGAGCAUCUUGAUCUCUAAACCAGCCUUUUCCAUCACCUCAUACCUAGGCUGUGCAUAGGUCAGAAAAAUGUAAAUGGGAGACUGGGAAAUUGGAUUGUUCAUAUUAGUUUGUAAAUCUAAAAACAUACACGACACUCCGGGUUCCAAAUUGGCUGAAAAUGAAUUGCAAUUCUCCUGCCUCAGCCUCCUGAGUAGCUGGGAUUACAGGCGUGCACCACCAUGCUCGGCUAAUUUUUGUAUUAUUAGUAGAGGCGGGGUUUCACCAUGUUGGCCAGUCUGGUCUGGAACUCCUGACCUCAGGUGAUCUGCCUGCCUCUGCCUCCCAAAGUGCUGGGAUUACAGGUGUGAGCCACUGCACCCGGCAUCAGUUAGAAAAAAAUUCUAGUCCUUCAAAAUGUUUCACCCUUCCACAGUUGUCUUUUUUGUCCUAAUUAUAAAAGUAGCAUACACUUAUGGAUAAAUAAGGCCAGGUGCAGUGGCUCAUGCCUGUAAUCCCACCACUUUGGGAGGCUGAGGAGGGUGGAUCGCCUGAGCUCAGGAGUUCGAGACCAGUCAGGUCAACAUGGCGAAACCCUGUCUCUACCAAAAAUGCAAAAAAUUAGCCGGGCAUGGUGGCUGGCCUGUGGUCCCAGUUACUCGGGAGCCUGAGGUGGGAGGAUUGCUUGAGCCUGGGAGGCUGAGGUUGCAUUGAGCGGAGAUUGCGCCACUGCACUCCAACAUGGGCGACAGAGUGAGAUCCCAUCUCAAAGAAAUAAAAAUAAAAUAAAAUAAGAAAAAUAAGACUAGCAGCAUGAUUGGCUAGGGACAAUCACCGUUAACAUUUUGGUGCAUUUUGUUCAGGCUUCAUUCAUAUAUAAUAUAUAUAUGACAACAUACUUAUACUUAAAAA
rnacentral:lncRNA from 1 species